UUAAGCGACUAAGCGUACACGGUGGAUGCCCUGGCAGUCAGAGGCGAUGAAGGACGUGCUAAUCUGCGAUAAGCGUCGGUAAGGUGAUAUGAACCGUUAUAACCGGCGAUUUCCGAAUGGGGAAACCCAGUGUGUUUCGACACACUAUCAUUAACUGAAUCCAUAGGUUAAUGAGGCGAACCGGGGGAACUGAAACAUCUAAGUACCCCGAGGAAAAGAAAUCAACCGAGAUUCCCCCAGUAGCGGCGAGCGAACGGGGAGCAGCCCAGAGCCUGAAUCAGUGUGUGUGUUAGUGGAAGCGUCUGGAAAGGCGCGCGAUACAGGGUGACAGCCCCGUACACAAAAAUGCACAUGCUGUGAGCUCGAUGAGUAGGGCGGGACACGUGGUAUCCUGUCUGAAUAUGGGGGGACCAUCCUCCAAGGCUAAAUACUCCUGACUGACCGAUAGUGAACCAGUACCGUGAGGGAAAGGCGAAAAGAACCCCGGCGAGGGGAGUGAAAAAGAACCUGAAACCGUGUACGUACAAGCAGUGGGAGCACGCUUAGGCGUGUGACUGCGUACCUUUUGUAUAAUGGGUCAGCGACUUAUAUUCUGUAGCAAGGUUAACCGAAUAGGGGAGCCGAAGGGAAACCGAGUCUUAACUGGGCGUUAAGUUGCAGGGUAUAGACCCGAAACCCGGUGAUCUAGCCAUGGGCAGGUUGAAGGUUGGGUAACACUAACUGGAGGACCGAACCGACUAAUGUUGAAAAAUUAGCGGAUGACUUGUGGCUGGGGGUGAAAGGCCAAUCAAACCGGGAGAUAGCUGGUUCUCCCCGAAAGCUAUUUAGGUAGCGCCUCGUGAAUUCAUCUCCGGGGGUAGAGCACUGUUUCGGCAAGGGGGUCAUCCCGACUUACCAACCCGAUGCAAACUGCGAAUACCGGAGAAUGUUAUCACGGGAGACACACGGCGGGUGCUAACGUCCGUCGUGAAGAGGGAAACAACCCAGACCGCCAGCUAAGGUCCCAAAGUCAUGGUUAAGUGGGAAACGAUGUGGGAAGGCCCAGACAGCCAGGAUGUUGGCUUAGAAGCAGCCAUCAUUUAAAGAAAGCGUAAUAGCUCACUGGUCGAGUCGGCCUGCGCGGAAGAUGUAACGGGGCUAAACCAUGCACCGAAGCUGCGGCAGCGACGCUUAUGCGUUGUUGGGUAGGGGAGCGUUCUGUAAGCCUGUGAAGGUGUGCUGUGAGGCAUGCUGGAGGUAUCAGAAGUGCGAAUGCUGACAUAAGUAACGAUAAAGCGGGUGAAAAGCCCGCUCGCCGGAAGACCAAGGGUUCCUGUCCAACGUUAAUCGGGGCAGGGUGAGUCGACCCCUAAGGCGAGGCCGAAAGGCGUAGUCGAUGGGAAACAGGUUAAUAUUCCUGUACUUGGUGUUACUGCGAAGGGGGGACGGAGAAGGCUAUGUUGGCCGGGCGACGGUUGUCCCGGUUUAAGCGUGUAGGCUGGUUUUCCAGGCAAAUCCGGAAAAUCAAGGCUGAGGCGUGAUGACGAGGCACUACGGUGCUGAAGCAACAAAUGCCCUGCUUCCAGGAAAAGCCUCUAAGCAUCAGGUAACAUCAAAUCGUACCCCAAACCGACACAGGUGGUCAGGUAGAGAAUACCAAGGCGCUUGAGAGAACUCGGGUGAAGGAACUAGGCAAAAUGGUGCCGUAACUUCGGGAGAAGGCACGCUGAUAUGUAGGUGAGGUCCCUCGCGGAUGGAGCUGAAAUCAGUCGAAGAUACCAGCUGGCUGCAACUGUUUAUUAAAAACACAGCACUGUGCAAACACGAAAGUGGACGUAUACGGUGUGACGCCUGCCCGGUGCCGGAAGGUUAAUUGAUGGGGUUAGCGCAAGCGAAGCUCUUGAUCGAAGCCCCGGUAAACGGCGGCCGUAACUAUAACGGUCCUAAGGUAGCGAAAUUCCUUGUCGGGUAAGUUCCGACCUGCACGAAUGGCGUAAUGAUGGCCAGGCUGUCUCCACCCGAGACUCAGUGAAAUUGAACUCGCUGUGAAGAUGCAGUGUACCCGCGGCAAGACGGAAAGACCCCGUGAACCUUUACUAUAGCUUGACACUGAACAUUGAGCCUUGAUGUGUAGGAUAGGUGGGAGGCUUAGAAGUGUGGACGCCAGUCUGCAUGGAGCCGACCUUGAAAUACCACCCUUUAAUGUUUGAUGUUCUAACGUUGACCCGUAAUCCGGGUUGCGGACAGUGUCUGGUGGGUAGUUUGACUGGGGCGGUCUCCUCCUAAAGAGUAACGGAGGAGCACGAAGGUUGGCUAAUCCUGGUCGGACAUCAGGAGGUUAGUGCAAUGGCAUAAGCCAGCUUGACUGCGAGCGUGACGGCGCGAGCAGGUGCGAAAGCAGGUCAUAGUGAUCCGGUGGUUCUGAAUGGAAGGGCCAUCGCUCAACGGAUAAAAGGUACUCCGGGGAUAACAGGCUGAUACCGCCCAAGAGUUCAUAUCGACGGCGGUGUUUGGCACCUCGAUGUCGGCUCAUCACAUCCUGGGGCUGAAGUAGGUCCCAAGGGUAUGGCUGUUCGCCAUUUAAAGUGGUACGCGAGCUGGGUUUAGAACGUCGUGAGACAGUUCGGUCCCUAUCUGCCGUGGGCGCUGGAGAACUGAGGGGGGCUGCUCCUAGUACGAGAGGACCGGAGUGGACGCAUCACUGGUGUUCGGGUUGUCAUGCCAAUGGCACUGCCCGGUAGCUAAAUGCGGAAGAGAUAAGUGCUGAAAGCAUCUAAGCACGAAACUUGCCCCGAGAUGAGUUCUCCCUGACCCUUUAAGGGUCCUGAAGGAACGUUGAAGACGACGACGUUGAUAGGCCGGGUGUGUAAGCGCAGCGAUGCGUUGAGCUAACCGGUACUAAUGAACCGUGAGGCUUAACCUU
rnacentral:rRNA from 1 species